rnacentral:tRNA from 1 species
CGGGGCGUGGCGCAGUCCGGUAGCGCACCUGCUUUGNGAGCAGGGGGUCCCCGGUUCGAAUCCGGGCGCCCCGA